rnacentral:rRNA from 1 species
UUUUAUGGAGAGUUUGAUCCUGGCUCAGGAUGAACGCUGGCGGCGUGCCUAAUACAUGCAAGUCGAGCGAACGGACGAGAAGCUUGCUUCUCUGAUGUUAGCGGCGGACGGGUGAGUAACACGUGGAUAACCUACCUAUAAGACUGGGAUAACUUCGKGAAACCGGAKCUAAUACCGGAUAAUAUUUUGAACCGCAUGGUUCAAAAGUGAAAGACGGUCUUGCUGUCACUUAUAGAUGGAUCCGCGCUGCAUUAGCU